rnacentral:lncRNA from 1 species
CCUGUGCACCCCUGUGUGCCCCACCAUGCCCGGAAGUAUGCCAGGCUUCCCCGUCCCACCCUACACCUCCGGCGCACCCGGGUGCCCCCGUCGCAGAAGGAGAGCCAGAGCCACCGUGCCGUAACCGCCUUUAUUGCUGGUUAUCGCUGGUGCCGGUGCUAGUGCUCCGCACCCGGGGGUGCCAGCACCUCGCCGUGCCGCCGCUGCAGUCCCUCGCCGCGGGGGUCCCUCGUUGCGCGUCGGCCGGCGGCAGAACCGUCACCAUUACUAAACUCAGUAAUGGUAACGGUUUCCCCGCCGGCCGCGGUCCCAGCUGCGCCCGGAGCUGCUCCGCGCCUGGCCCCAGGGUGCCCCGGCCGGGGCGGCCCCACGGAACCCACGUCCCUCCCAGCCCCCCCGACCUGUGUCCCACCAGCCUCUCCAUCCCUGCCCCACAGCCCAGCCCUUUGGGGCCCCUCAACCCAAUCCCUCUGCCCCACAUCCCAGCUCCUUGGUGCCCCAAAUCCCAGCUCCUCGGUAUCCCAUGUCCCAGCCCUUGCUGCCCCACAUCCUAGCCCCUUUGUGCCCCAAAUCCCAGCUCCUCGGUGCCCCAUGUCCCACCUCCUUGGUGCCCCACGUCCCAGGCCCUUUGUGUCCCACGUCCCAGCCCUUGGUGCCCCACAUCCCAGCCUCGCAGUGCCCCACGUCCCAGCCCCUCCGCGCCCCGUAUCGCAGCGCCGCGGUGUCCCUCGCCGCUGCGGCCCGGCCGCAGGCAGGUCUCGGCGCCGGCCGGGGGGGCGCAGCCCAGGGGAGUACAUCAUCUAUACUGUAGUGUCUCAUAGUGAACUUACAGUAUAUGAUGAUAUCCCGCCCGGGGCCCGCGGCACGGGGAGCAGCGCCUGCGCGGAGAGCAGAGCACCCUUAGGGAGCGGGGCCGGUGCCAGGCAUGGUGCCCAGCCCCAGCCCCGGGGGGGCAGCGGGGUCCCGGCGCCCCGGGGCAGGCGGGGGCACCUACCUGGCAGGGCGGCGCGGGGCCGAGC